rnacentral:lncRNA from 1 species
UGGGUGAAAUCGGGAAGACAGUGACUAGUUUGGGAGGAGAGAAUACCCUCGGGGAAAUGCUCAGAGCCUGCGUAUAUUCCAGCCGGAGCAUCCUGGCGCCCGGUUGGGAGUGAUUGGCUCUGGGCGCCGCUU